GCCUGUUUGGCUCAGUGGAUAGAGCAUUGGCCUGUGGACUAAAGGGUACUGGGUUCAAGUCCAGUCAUGGGCA
rfam:Myotis lucifugus cont2.8000, whole genome shotgun sequence.